UGUUUUUACUCGAUUGUUUGGCUGAAGGUUUUAAACUUAUUUUAAUUUAAUUUAUUUUGACUUCUUAUUGGACCUCCUAUUGUCUUGUAGGGAAACUCCCUCAGAGCUGUUUCAGUUUCUAUCACUUUGGGUUUCACUUUUAAGAGAAGACUGACAAACUGAACACGGAACCCUCAAGCGGUUUUCGUAGUUUCACUUUCCAAAGCAAGUUCCGACGUGGGAAACCCCCCAGUGUUGUUUCAGUUUCUAUCACUUUGGUUUCGUUUUCAUCACAAGACUGAGAAACUGAACACGGGGAAAAGGUCUUGCUUUUGACGCGUAUUCAGUUUGUUUCAUUCUGGUCGACUCACCAAAAACCAGCAAACUGCUUCAGUGUAUUUUAGUCUCUACCCCUUGUGGUUUCACUUUCAUCAGAAAACUGAACACGGGAAACUCCGUCAAUGUUGUUUCAGUUUCCGUCACUUUUAGUUUCAUUUUCAUCAGAAGACUGAGAAACUGAACACGGAAAAGGUCCUGUCGCUGGCGCCUAUCCAUUUUGUUUCCAUUCUGGUCGACUCAUCAAACCCUAUUCUAUCACUUUUGAUUCAAUUUCGUCCGAGGAUCGAGAAACGGAACACGGUAACGUUAUUAACUGUUAGCUGUUGGUGACUGAUACCGUGUCGUUCACAUAUAAGAUGUACAUGUAAGCGAUGUUUAAUACUUCCAAUUUACACUGGAAGAGAUUUGCAUUAAUGAAUAUCCCGUAACUGUUUUUUGUUUUUUUGUUUUUUGUUUUAGUUUUUGGGCGCUAUUCAUAUUUGGUUUAAAUUAUCUCACAAACUGUGAACAGUCGCUUUACUUUUUCAACGGAAAGAAAGAACCCUGGAGCAUUUUGCGAAUUCGAUGAUCGGAAAAAAAAGAGACCAUUGAUUAGUCCAAUCAUCACCAUCAUUUCAGCUGAUCAGAGUAGAACAAAACUGGAAAUAGUCACCAAUCAGACAUAUGCUUUUGACGUGUACUGGAUCAAUUAACAUAUGAAUGCAAGACUGUGCUCGGUUAUGUUCAAUGUAUAGUUCUUUUACUAAUCUGAUUUAAUCUCCUCAAACACUUCGAAGUAGAUUCAUGAUUGUAUCAGAGAAAACUAAGUUGACUUUGUGGCUGCCUUUGCUACUGAUGAUGUUUAAAUUUUGAUAUUGGCCUUGAUCUGGUUUUUAUUGUUGGUUUGCGUUUGUUGGGUUAUCUAUUUACUAAAAUAACAGUACUGUUUCUUCUUUGUCCCUUCUUUUGGAAUGGGCGUUGUGUUACAAUCUAAUAAACCUUUUAGUUC